AAUUUUGUAGUUUAAAUAAAACAACAAAUUGCAAGUUUGUUAAUGUUCCUAAAGACCCAAAAUUA
rnacentral:tRNA from 1 species